rnacentral:rRNA from 1 species
UGGGGAAUUUUGGACAAUGGGCGAAAGCCUGAUCCAGCCAUGCCGCGUGAGUGACGAAGGCCUUAGGGUUGUAAAACUCUUUCGUCGGGGACGAUAAUGACGGUACCCGAAGAAGAAGCUCCGGCUAACUUCGUGCCAGCAGCCGCGGUAAUACGAAGGGAGCUAGCGUUGUUCGGAAUCACUGGGCGUAAAGCGCACGUAGGCGGAUAGUUAAGUCAGGGGUGAAAUCCUGGGGCUCAACCCCAGAACUGCCUUUGAUACUGGCUGUCUCGAGGUCGAGAGAGGUUGGUGGAAUUCCUAGUGUAGAGGUGAAAUUCGUAGAUAUUAGGAAGAACACCAGUGGCGAAGGCGGCCAACUGGCUCGAUACUGACGCUGAGGUGCGAAAGCGUGGGGAGCAAACAGGAUUAGAUACCCCCGUAGUCCCUGAGCGGGCUGGCAAGGCGCAU